rnacentral:lncRNA from 1 species
GCCGGCUGACCCCCUGGCCUACUCCCGGCCUCCGGCUCCAGGCCCUUCCCGGAUCCCCGCCCCCGGAUUCCCAGGGGACGGGGAAGGGAGCGCCCGCCCCGAUAUCUCCGCCCCCCAGCCCCUAACCCCUCAGGGUUGAGCGGACCAACCCCACCACUUCCGCGAGGGGCAGGGGCGGGGUCACAAAACGGGCCCUCGGCCUAGGGGCGGAGUUUCUCGUAAGGGGCAAGGCCAAGGCAUCUUGUAUUGGGGCUGACAGG